UGUUUGCUGCAUUAUAAUUUGAAUUCUUGGAAUUUUAUUGUUUUAUCAUGCCUUAUGUAUUUUCAUCCAUAGUAUUGUGCCUGAUAAAGAAAAUAUGACUGCUCUGCUGGGUACCGAAAAAGAGAUAAUGUCUUAAAUAUGAUUUUUGGUGAAGUUUUUAGAAUUUUAUCUGUGGAAGAUCGUAUCAUUUGUUCACAGAGUGAAUUCCAGGCAUAAAACUUUCCCCUGUAUUUGGACCUGCUUUUCUCAAGUGAAUUA
rnacentral:lncRNA from 13 species